rnacentral:lncRNA from 1 species
AUCUUCUCGCAUCCUUUUACGGUAUUCAACUUUUUGUCCUGCCAAAAUAAACAAUAUAAUGCAUGCUUCAGCAGUGGUAAGCUAUAAGAUAGUCACAGGUCAUUAGUUGAGCUGGAACAGAAAUUAAGCAACAAUUAUAAAUAACCAAGAGUAAGAACUGAUUCAGUACCUAAAUAUUCAACAAGCUAUUACUAACACUCUUAAUCAAAAGGGCAGCAUCCAACUGUUAUACUAACAUUCCAAAUCAAAAGUUGGUUGUACAAAACUGAUAUCAUACAUGUAAGCUAGUAAUAUCCAAAUAACUAUGUUGAAUGGAUUGAGAAGACAAUUUUGAAUAUAUGCCAGAAAAAACUCCAAAGUCCCAAGUUAAUCCAUACUUCACAUGUGUUACAGCAAAAACAGACUAGGUAAUCAAGCUUCAAAUGAGCCUCCAAUAAUAGUGUUUCAAGGUGCAGUGCAAGGUCUGAGAAAUAGGGUAAUCUAAUAGAUGGGGAAGGAAGAUAAAAUAGAUAGCAACACAAGCAACAUGCAGAAAACAUAAUCUCAUAAGGCCAUGGAUUUCAAAAACUACAGAUAAAUCUCCACCCUUUAAAUCAGAAAUUGAAAUUUUUUAUACAAAGACAUGGGAAUGAAUACUAACACCUCAAAGCAAAAGCUAAUGUUUCUAUUAAUGUUGCCCUUCAUGUUGCUCUGCUACAUCAGCUAGCAACAUUAACAGAAAUUAAAAUUUUAAAUAGAAAAAACAAUACUAACACCUUAUAAAGAAAAAGCCAAUGUUGUGCUGCUACAGCACCUAGCAACAUUAACAGAAAUUGAGAUUUUUAAACAAAAACAUAGGAAUGAAUUGAGAUUUUUAUAAAAAUUGAUGACAGGCACUACACAAUUGCACAGACAAGCACAUAAGCAACAGUCAAAUAACUCAUUUGAGAAGUGAGAAUUGGGUACCGUUGGUUUAAAUUUGGGAUAGGUUUGAAGGUUAGCAAAAGAUCCCCUAUAUCAGAGUUGCAACAUUGUCAACAAGCAUAGACUACAACAACCAGACCCUAUUGUAGCAUACAACACAAAACAACCAUUCAUCAGGCACAUAUAAAUCUAACACCAUAGCUGCAAUAGAACCAAAAUCCUGCAUAAUUAGAACAAAUUAGGCCCCACCCACACGAUAUAGCAAAGACGGAAAAAAACUAAGUAACAACAAUAUAAAAUGCUAUAACACGUUCAAUAUUUCAAUUCAAUCACAAGCAUGCUUAAAACAUUGUAUUCUAUAAUUGUGCUCGUGAUUUUCGGAUAUCAAACCAUUAAUUGAUUUGAAUCGUUAAUCUUUGAACUCUCGAUUUUUAUUCGUGGGAAGGGAAAAAAUGAGUAAAAACCCUCAUCGAGACUUUGGAUUCGGGGGUUGGUUACGCGAAGGGAAGGUGCUAGCACCCUAAGCGUCUACGGUAUUCCGUAGGAACCUCUUACCUAAUUUAUCUUGUGCUAAAUUCAUUGCUUAUUUGAAAAUUAUUACCUAAAAAUCUAAGUGAAAGAAUGGGGGAAGAAGAAGUAUGUUUUUGGUUAUUUUUAUUUGAUUUGGAAGGAUAAAAAUCCUAUGCCUACAUACCCUUUAAGAAAAGGGAUCAAAACCAAUGUAGUUCACCUGAAAAGUUUCUUUUUGGUGGGUUGGUUGAUUUUAGAUUUUUAGAAAAUGGUUUCAAGAAGGGAUAAGAGGCCUCAAGGCAUGAGAUAAAAUAAGGUGAGGUUGUCGAAUUUUAAUUACAAAGAAAUCAAGUCUAUUAUGAAUAUUAAUUCAAUUAAGCAUUUGAUUAAGAAAAAUAAAAGGAAAAGCAACUUGGGUUACAAGCCAAGGUUUAUUAAGAAAAUAUUUUUGGAGUUUUGCAUGUUUUUGUUGUUUUUGAAUAAUAAAUGAAAAUUAAACUAACGGAGCAAUAAAAAUAAAAGCGCGUGGAUUUUUGUAGUGACGUUGGAUCACCACAAAAUCCCUAAUCUAAUUUUUUUUGCAUUUUUUGGAUAUAUCUAAGGCGGUAAGGAAAUAAAAGGACACACACACCCACACACUUUUCUCAUUUAUAUUUACAUUGGACCUAAAUACAUUCUAAUUGCUGGAAAAUAAAUAACAAUAAUUAAAAUGCUAAAUAGAAAUAAAAUAAAAAUGUAAAAAUGCUAAAAAGAAAUAAAAAUGCAAGAAAAUAAAAGAAAUGGGCUACCGAAGGGACAAAAUUCCGAAGGGACUUUUCCGAAGGGACUUAUUCCGAAGGGACAGAAAAAAAAAGGGAGAAGAAAAGAAUAGCUCGUUAACACAAGCUAAAUAGGGAGAAGAGAGAAAAGUUCUUUGACAACUCAAGAGAACUUUUUGGUGUGUCAAAUUGUGUGAAAUGAGGGCUCUAUUUAUAGGUGAGGAGGUUGAUGAAAAAAGGAAAAAUGGUUUAAUGGAAAUGAAGGACAAUUAUGGUGAAUUUUUGAAAAAGGAAUGUUAAAGUUGACACUUGACUUGAAAUUUUUUUUAGACCUUGUACAUUUUAUUUUGGACCUAUUGACACUUUGUUUUUUUUUUGACACUAAUUAAUUAAAAAGAAAUAAAAUAAAUCUAAUACGAAAUAAAAUAAAAUAAAUCUAAUACGAAAUAAAAUAAAACAAAUUAAACUAAAAGAUGGAAAAUAAAAAUUAUUAAGUAUAAAAAAAGUAACUAAUCUUAAAAUUAAAAUUAAUAAAAGAUGGAAAGAAAAUAAAAAGAGAAAAGAGAGUCCGACUCGGAAUCAAAAAUGAGGUACUUCAAAGUAACCUCUUUGCCAAAAUUUCGUCUGAAACGACGAAAAUUCCCGACUUUAAAAAUACAAAUAAAAUGGGUAAGAAUAGAGAAAAGUGGUCAAAAUUUGGGGUAUGACAAUAAUCAUAAGAGGGUACCCCUGUUGUGCUUGAAUUUUUGUUGCUUGUCUUUGUAAACAAAGAAUAGUUGCAAGAAAGUUUCACAAUUGAAAAUAUAAUAAUACACUAGUACUUUACUUAUUUAGAAUUACAAAAUAGGACUUCUUCAAUUGGUUAUUAUGUAUAACAUCUUCGUUCACCACACCAUAUCAAUCCGAUAUUACU